rnacentral:rRNA from 1 species
UACGAAGGGGGCUAGCGUUGCUCGGAAUUUCUGGGCGUAAAGCGCACGUAGGCGGCUUUCUAAGUCGGGGGUGAAAUCCUGGAGCUCAACUCCAGAACUGCCUUCGAUACUGGAGAGCUUGAGUCCGGGAGAGGUGAGUGGAACUGCGAGUGUAGAGGUGAAAUUCGUAGAUAUUCGCAAGAACACCAGUGGCGAAGGCGGCUCACUGGCCCGGUACUGACGCUGAGGUGCGAAAGCGUGGGGAGCAAACAGG